ensembl:misc_RNA
UUAACCAAUCCCAGGAACUGAAGUCUUCUGUUUCUUCACAGAGGAAAUAUGACAAAGGCAGUGGCUGUACAAGCUUCCUUCAUGGGCCGCCCUCCCCACUGCCUCAUCCAGUAAGCGGGAGCAACUACUUCUAGAGGUGAGAGGGGAGGGAGGACAAUCUCCAUAACCCAUUUGAUCCCCCUAGCUGCA